CACAAUUAAAACCUUCAAAUAAAGUCAUAACACCAACAUAACUACAUGCACAUGUUUAAAGUAGGGUCAAUAACUUGUUAUAUGAGUGUACAUGUUUUGCCCAGAGUGCAGUUCACAUACAUAGUUCAUCAUUUUAAAUUAUGAACUUGCUAUAUGGUCUUUUUCAGUGGAACCUCCUAUACAUUCAUCUGCGUGCCCCCAAUUACUGACAACCUCUACGCUAAAUGAAUUACAUUAGUCUACCAUAUGUAUUUUAAGUUUAAAAAACCGUCAAAUAAAGUUUUAAAAAGUACCUAAUCGAGUUGUAAAGUUCACAGCUCAGCAAAAUAUGAGCAUAUUCAAUGAACACAUUCAUUUCAGCGUGUUCAACCAACGCUGCCCUUUGUGGUUCUUCGCCUGCAGUGUGCUUAUCAGAUAUGCAUGCUUGAAAGACGCAAACAGCUGAUAUUGACUAUAGUUUAAGCUAUACAGGCUGUUUCGAGCAGCUAGUAGAUCAACAUUGUUUGAUCUACUGCUUGCUUGAAAGUUUCUAGCCUUUGGUUUUACUUAUUGGAUUUGAACCCCAUUGAUUUUGAUGAAUUAUGUUUUUUUUUCCUUCAGCUCCAGUCAGAAGUACCAUCUCUAACCCAUGUAGUUGUUGUCAUGGCCUUGAUAACUUCAGAUGGGAUCUGUUUAACCAAAAUUACAGGUAAAAUAUAUGGUUAUGAUAAAUACUUUUAAUGUCAUAUCUUUGGUGUUCCACCAGCUAAAUUCAGCCACAAGCUUGAUGCCAUAUAUCUCUAAAAGUAGAAGUUGGAUAAAGUAAUUUUGUUUGCCCUUUAAGAAGAAAACUGAAUUUUCUAGACCUCAUGGUUACUCAGACAGUAUAAUUUUAGUAUUUACUCAGCUAUUGUGUUGAUAUUUUGACAGAAAACAAUUCAGGUACCAAUCAAGCCAAAAAGUGCUGAACACCUGCAGUUAUUCUUCUUUUUGAUCACCCAAAUCAUGUUGAAGCAAAAGCUCAAGGUGAAGAUCAAGGGCUUCACCUUAGCGACAUUUUCUAAUAAGACCACUUGCUUGGUGAAUUUUAAUAUAACUUUUGAAAUCUAGCGCAGCCAUUCAUAUUCUGGGCUCCCCUUGUUCCCCUCAAAAUAUGUUCAAAGAAAAUAUGGUAAUGUACAGCAGAGCUUAGUGUUCAGACUCAUUUGCAACACACUUUGUACCUUGCCUUUUGGUUAUUACCUCUCUGAGUAUGAAUAUCAUUUCCAUAUUUUUCACCACACAGUCCGCUAAUAAGAAAAUACAAUUGCGGAUGUGUGAACACCAUGCUUUGUCAUUAUUAGCCGGCCUUGAAUUGAUGUUGUUUGAUUUAUUGAAUAAUAAAACCAGAUCGUCCGGUUCCCCCGUUAAAGGAUCAAAUAAAUUGAAUACAACAAAGCAGAGCAUACAACCACCGCCUGCUGCUUGUGCAUUGUAGGGGCGGUGCUGCAGAUUGGCAAUCAAAAAAUAAAAGGUCUGAAAAUAAAAGCACAGGAGCAAAAUUUGAUCCCUGCCAAAGCUGUAAUCCUGAUCAGGAUGUAGUGAGAGGCGUAGCUUGGGUUGUGCAAAUCGCAGAGAGUGAAAUCCGUGGUAUUAGGUAACAGAUGGCUCAGGUGUAUUGAUACGAGGGGGCUACCAUCACUUAUGUUGAUUAGAUCUGGGGGAAGAGAAAUGUCUUAUGUAAGAGUUACAUAAAACCACAUAUAUGAUUGAGUGAGGAUCAAUUCCUUUGUUAAAACAUCCAGAAUCUAACCAUAAGAAAGCAGCAUAGAUCAAUGUGGAUGGAUAUGAAAACAGAUUUACUUCUAUAAAUGAGGACACAAAGACCCCAACACUUUUUCCAGUUCUGCACAAUUAUGCCAUAGCUUACUCUCAUUUAUUUAUUUGUUCAGUGGCUUUGGAAUAAAAUGUCAUCCGCUGACACACAGGGGGGGCUUUUCGUCAAUGGGAAUAGAUUGCUGCCACUUUGAGAAGUGCUUUUCUGUCAAGUGUCAGCUUUCAGAGUCCAGAGGUAAAACUCAAUGUCUAUAUUUUCUGUCCUGUUCAUCACAUCCUCGAGGGUGAAAAAAAAGUAUCAGGCUGCCAUCCUUCCAACAAACAGCUUGACUUUGAUUUUCUUCAUGUCUCCCUGGAAGUGUCCUCAAAUUUCAGACUUGUCAAAGUUGUUUUGUCUUUAUAAUCCUCUUUGUACGACAUGGCGCCGCUCCAUUCCCACAGCCUCGUCAUUCCUUCUCAGAAAGAAAACAAUGCUGACAGUAACAAUGUCUUUUUUACUGAGCUAAAUAUUGUCCUCUGUUAUUACCAGAGCUGUCCUAGUUUUUUGGGGGGAUGUAAUAACCCACUGUGAUACAAAGACCAACAACUAGGCUGGAGUCACAGGUAGAGAGGAUGCAUGCUCAGUGUGACCGCGACAUAUCCGAACAUAUGGUCCUGACAUACAUGAAUGGGUGCCAGCAGGGUCGGGUGAGUUGAGAGUCAGUCAAGAGCAGACAGACGUUCAUCAAGGUCAUGAAUGAAGCAGCCAAUAUCUGCAGAGCUGGAAAAAACAACUCCUUUAAUGCAAUUCAGCUCAAUUUUAUUUGGAUUACCCAUUUCAUACAAAUGUGUAUUUAAUCUACAUCACAGGGGAUAAAAACUUGCAGAAAAAAACUUAUUAGUAAUAGAAGAACUCAACAAAUGAAUGACUUUAGUCCCAUGCUCUAUGAUCGCAUGGAUCUGAUUGGGUUAUAGUCAACAAGAAGGUCAUGUAGAGAUAUUGAUACCAGUCUGAGCUUUGAGCACUAGGAGCUGAGUUUUAAAUCCAGCCCUGUGCUGGGCCAGGAGCCAAAGGAGAUUUUUCAGUCCUGUAGCAAUAUAGCAGUUUAAUUUAGCAGACACCAUUGUCCAAAGCAAAAGAGAAAGUACAACACAAGUAAGGAUGUAGAAGGGGGAAACAGCAUGAAUAAGUGCCAGAAACAGCCUUAUGUCUAGGUGCUGACAUGCAGGGCCAGAGGCAAUGCGCAGGUUGUUAAGAAGCUUCUUCUAAUUGCAAUGAUAUCAUUAUCACCAAAGCAUCAGCAAAAACAUAGUCAUCAACUUUACGAAACCUCAGUGUCAUCAUCAUCAAUGCCCCUGUUAUCGGCAUCACUAGCUAUAGCUCCGGGCUACCGAGUGCAGAGUUGUACAAAACCAGCUUGGGCUAAAACUUUCUGGAAGUAGAGUGGGACUCUGCAGACUGAAUGUAGUUGAGUAACUCACGCCACCACCAGGGACCACAGGAACUAAGAGUGUAGCUUAAGAGCGUAGGUUUUCCCUCAAGAGCUAGUGGCUUAGCUUUUUCUCAAAGGUAGAAAGAAACUUUGCAAAUCAAAUGAGGUUGGGUAAUCAUUUCCAUCGAUGGGGGACAAUGAGGAGAAAAGCGUGGCAAGUGAUUUACAGCCCUGUUGAUAUGGGUGUACGAAGUGUCAUCCAUUGGGGAGUGUGAACUUGGAGGAGAGAUUCCAGGUAGGCAGGAGCAGUUUUUGUCACUGUUUUGUAAGCAAGAAGUGGGUCUUGAUUUCAAUGUAAGAGACAACUGGAAGCCAGUGGAAAGAGAUGUGAAGUGACAAGAUGCAGUGCUGAAUUCUGGGUCAUUCAGAGGUUUGAAUGUGCAUGCUGAAAGUGAGCUGGUCAUGAAUCAUGACACCAAGAUUCUAGGCAAAUACUGUAUAUUCAACAUAGAUUGAGUUUUUCCAGAUACUUGUGUAAUAUAUUCUUUUUUGGUCCUUGUAGGCACUGCUGGCGUCAGUGAUUUGGAUGAGAUGAACUUCACUUGCUGACUUUUUGGGAAGUCCAGCAGUGCAGUUGUCUCAUUUACUGGAGAUGGAUGAAUUAACCAGUAUCUCAGAGUUGGAUUGGGAUGUGAAGCACCUCUUGAAGAUGGUAGAAGACCAUAAAGAUGGUCAAAAGAUGUCAUUGUAAUAACUGGAAGUUUAAAUUUGCAUGGACACUCUGGUUCCUGACUCACUCACUCUGUUAAAGAGGUAACUAUGGUGAAAUGGAUAUAAACUCCUGCUAUUUUCUUUAUUAGCCUACAAUUAGAAUUUUGGUUUCAUCACUGAAAAGUUGUCAUCUAUGCAUUUGACCAAUUGAUCUACUGAAUUAAGGUCUUCAGGCAAAAGGUAGACGCCAAACUGUGUAUCAUAGGGAGCAUGUAAAGACUGAAUAAUAGCGGACCAAGUACUGAACCUUGUGGCACCCCACAGUGAAUGCUAAGGUGUUCAGAGGUAAAUUUAUCAAGUCAUAUUGGGAAAGUUUUUUUAAAUACGGUUACAUCUGAUGAAAGAGAAGUCCAGGUUAUUUUUCCAACCUGUAUAUCAGAGUGUGGUCAACUGUAUCAAGAGCAGAUCUCAAGUCUAAUAGCACAAAAAUUGACAAAUUGGGGGCAUUAACGUUGGCAAAAACUUGCUGUAACCGGUUUAUGAAUCAUUGACAGGAUCAGAGGUUUAUUGAGAACAUUCUAAUUUACUUUAACCUUUACUGCUUUACUGAUCUUACACGUGUUUAAAGGUGAAACUGAGUAAGUAAAGCAUGAACACAUCCAGAGAGUCAAAUCUCUCACUUCUCUGAUAGUCUAAAUGCUGCAAGUACUCAUCCAAUCAGAGAUGCUCAUUGCUGCUGGACCUGCCCCUAAGUCCCAGUACUUCUGGAAAGGUUUACCCCUGGUGCAGGACAUUUUCACGGUAAAAUAAAGAUCAUGGAACUGUAAUUGGACCCAAAUCCCACUGGAGUACCUCCAAAAGUUUCAAGCCUCCUGGGAACAUUCUUGCAGUAGAAAUGCAGCUUUUGGUGAUAAAUACUGUGAAAACCACUAGUGGAGAAACCACAGCAUCCAUUAACGCACUUAAGCAUCCCCCCAAAAAGCCCCUUGAUUUGUUUAUUUAGUCACAGCUGAGGCAGAAAGCAAACUUUAUGUGAUGUGGUAAAAUAUUAAAAUAGCUUUUGCAUUAGCUCAUCUCAUUACUAUUUGGCAAACAGUCACAAGCACAGCUAAAUAAUUAACACCUCCUAAAAAAGAUAAGCAGGGGUGAUGAGUGGUGGGAGUAAGAGGGAGAAAUGCAUCUCCAUGCCUUGUUGUUUGCCAGGUAAGCAUUUUUAGAUGUGGGUGGAGGAGACGAAAUAGAGAUCACUCAGGCAGAAUUAUGGUAAUGUUGUGCUCCGGGUUCCUGUACUCAAGCUUUUUACAGCAACCCGUAUCAGCCUGAUAUGUUAAUAGGCACAAUGGGAUUUGGAUUUGAUUAAAUGUCAAUGCCUGGAGGAAAAAAGCGCUAGUGUGGAAAGUGGGGGGUUAGGGGAAAAAAAGCCAAUUUCUCAGGAAAAGUCAUGCAGGCUGUUGUAGACUCGAUGGGUCCUUGGCUAUCCAAGGAGGACAUUGGUUUGUCACACUCUAUAGGACAGCUAAGGUUGUGUGUGGUCCCAGCGGAUCAGGCCAUGACAUGUUUGUGAUUUACUCCAUAACAGUUUGAAGUAGAAGUGGUUGGAGGGCCUCUUUGUCCUUCUGUGGAAGGUGAAGGGGGUGGGCGAGUGGAGAGGGUCCUUCUCUUCAAUCACGGAUAAGAAUGGAAGUGGAAAAGCUUUGUACUCUGGGUUUCUCUGAUUACCAAAUUAACUAAAACUAUUAACCUGACUUAAUUUUCACAUUCUGGACAGAAGAAGAUUAAGAGCAUGAGUCACUAGAGGAGCCGCAGAAGCUAACUAUGUAGCUUUACUAAUGAUCAUUACGGUAAUAGGGGAGAAUGAAUGGAAAGGAAAGUGAGUGAGGGAGACAGGAGAGGGUGAAUCUAAGGGAAAACAUACAAAAAUAAGAAGGAGAAAGGCAGGAGCCGACUGAAUAGAAACUAGAAGGAUCAUUCUCAGAGGAAAGGCUACACCUCCCGCUGGUUUGACCCAGUCUUUGUGUCCUAAAUUGGGGUCUGUCUGGUGUCACGGUGAGCCUGAACCCUUAGCUGGAUCUCUUGAGACUUUGGCUAUUCUGCUGCUGUUGCAUUUCUCGUACAAAACGACCGGGAGAGGCUGAAUCCACAGUUCAUCACAUUGAGCUCCUUGAGGGGAAAAGAGGAGUAAAAUAGGUGCCUCGGUCUACUCCUGAGAGAGUGAUGAGAUGCCUGUUUUCUCUUUAUCUUUUUCUUCCUUUUCGCUCUCUAAUGCCACUCAGCUAAUUUUGGAGCGCAGAGAGGCUGAAUUCAUCAGGAGUGGCUGGUCUUGGAUCACUGACACUGGUCCUUCAUGUGACCAUCUCAGUCAUUUUAAUCAUCUUUCAUAUGGAGAUGCUUGAUUAAGUAGGUCCCUGUAUUUGCUCCCAUGAGGUCUUCUGGCAUUAUAACUCAUAUCAGUCCUCGUAAUCAUUCUCAAUUCAAUAUCACAUCAACGAAAAUCGUACGCAUUUUCAUAGAUGUCCUUGACCCGGUAUAACCCUAUAGUGGAAGCUAGUUUGGAUUCAAGCUAAAUGACAGCACAGCAGGAUAGAUGCUAAAUGUCAAGGGGAACUAAUCCAGGCUCUUAGAGGCCAUGGCCUAACUGUGCGCCCCGCGCUCUCCACAGCCCCUGAUCCUCAAGACCUUUAAACACUGUGCAAUUAUACAUUCAUCAACACAUGUGCUGCUGUGUCUCUGUGACUCAUCAAGGCCCAAAAAAGAGGGAAAAUAAAGAGUGGGGACAGACAAGCGUGACUAAUGUGUGCGCCCUGUAGAGGGCAAUAUUGUCUGCUGUGUUAGGAGGUUCAACUUUGAAUGAGUUGUUUAAAUAUCUCUCUGUUUCUACUGUAUGCAAAUGAGAUACUUACACUAGAUCAAAGUAUAUGAGGAGCAUUUGAGUUUUGCAAUGAAUGAGUGAAUUCAGUACAAGUGAAUCAUCCUAUUCAUUUGUAAUCUAUACAGGAUGUCUUAAUUCAAAUAUAACUCUAGUAUCCAGAAGUUAGAAUUCUGGGUAAAAUGUUAAUGCUUUUCGAUCAUUCAAAGUCUAUAUGGAAAAUAAUGCAAAGACAUUGACACUGAACAUUUGUUUUGUUUAAUAAAAGCAUAGUUUCAAUUUGAUGUUUGAGAAAUGAUUGGACAGGGUCAACAUAACACCGAAAAAAUGUAUGUCUUAAUGAAAAGAAACAUGUGGAGGAUCCUCCAACUCAUUAUGUGAAUUUGCAUGAGGUUUGUGAUACGACUGGGUCUAAAAAGGGACUUUCCACAGAGACUGAGUCUCUCUGAAGCGAAGACGGGAAGGAUUCAUCACUCUGUGACUGUGUGAGCAAAUUCAGGAUGACGCUCCUUAUUGGCACAACUUUUCAAAGAGUAUGGAAAUUUCAUCAUCCAAUGUUCAAACCCUCAUUAAAAGAUUUAGAAAAACUGGAGAAAUCUCUUAAAAAAAACCACAAACCCAAAAACCAAAACCAGAUGGCUGUGAUCUUGGGCCUUCAGGCAGCACUGCAUUAGAUACGGACAUGUCUCUAUAGUGGAAAUCACUGCAUUGACUCAAAAUCACCUGCAAAAAAAUAUUUUCUGUAAAUUUAAAGCAAGCAUUUGUUUUUGUAUAGUUUCAAUAUUUUAUAUUUUUGACUUUCCACAACUUUAGAUCAAAUUAAGGGGUUGAAAUGAUAUGCAAAUGAUCAGAUUCUGUAUUAAUUAACAUUUAACACAGCAUCCUGAUUUUUGUUUUUAAAUGGGGCCUGUAGAAAAUAAAGAUCCAUUCUUGUUUGAGGUUGGCAGGUGACAUUUAUAUUCACAGUGCAUGCAUUCAAAAUGACAGUGCAUCAAUUCAUGAUUCCUAUCAGGUGCUGAUUCAUGAAUUUCUCUGCAAAGUGUCUUUCAGCUUAUUUUUAAAACAGCUUUAACAAGUGUGAUUAGAGCUGCAGAGGUUCAAAAUUGGCUUAAGCUACACCCCAAGAGCUACAGGUUAUUGGUUUUCCUUAUUUAAUCUGACAGAUUUCAUAUAAAACAGGUUAUCCUUGUGCUUUUCCUCAAUGGUCGUGGCUUGUGGGCCCUUCUUCGAGGAUUGGCAGCAGCACAUGACUCCAGUGCUCACCGUCCAGGUCAGGACAAAGCUACUCUUUUACCUCCCAGGCCCUGCUUUACAACGGCUCAUGUGUGAGCAUGGAAAAAAGAGUGGAAAUCAAACCUCCUCUGUAAAUACACGAAAGGUCAGAGAUGACGUCAGAGUCCAGGGACAGCUUCGGCCGUGAUUUUCGUGGCCUCGUCGUCGGCGCCUGAUUCGUCGCAGCUCUUAAUAUUUUGGACUCUGUGCUCCCAGACCAUGAUCCCAAUAUAAAUACACGAGUACACCCAUGUCAUAGAAUUGUGUUUGGUGUUUUACCCGCAGCUCAUAAGUCUAUCUGCUUUGGAGAGUGUUGCAGGCAGCUACAAAGAAAACCUUUUGCUGACUCGUACUGAAACUUGAAAACAAACUUAUUCUUGAUUCCUUUUGAUGAACUUGAGUUUUGUACCUUCUCACACUGUGCUCCUCUUCCAUUACCCUUCCAAGCCCUCCAAAUCUUGGCCCCACUUCCUUUUUCUUGUAUUAAGACUGACUGCAAAGAAGCGUGUAUGCCCAUCUGCCAUGCAUGGCGUUAUUGUUGGGUCAUGACCCUCAUCUGUCGCUGCUCAGUCUGCUCCUGCAAGGCGUCUCAUUCUCCGUUCGGAUAUAUUUUUCUUUUCUUUGCAAACAAGUGUUUAUUUUACACACAGCGCCUUAGAUAUAAAGUUCUUUAAAACUCAGCCCAUUUCCUCUAUUAUCCUCGGCUUUGUGUGUGAAGAGUUUGUUGUUAUUAUUAUUAUUAUCAUUAAAGCAAUCUCCCCUGACCUACAUCUGGAGAAUUAACAGGAAAUCUCUGUUGCAACACUGAUCUAGAGAUAACUUGCAGGCUCUGAAUGUAGUCCAGGGUAAGACUUACAGAUAUCAAUUGGUGAGAAGAGUCCAGUUGAUGUGGACUUGUCAUUAUUUAUCCUGAGGGUGCACAUCUAACAGCAGUGCAGUCUGGGUGGCAGCCAGCUCCUCCUGGAGAAGAGUACACAAUUUUCCUUCUUCCACACUGCUUGUUUUAGGAAAGGCUUUAACAUGUGGUCCACGUCUGCACACAGAGCAUUAAACUGCCUCACUGACACCCAUUUAUACAGGAACAAAUGUCAGUGUUAGUGUCUUAUGUGGGUAAAUUGUCAACCAUAAAUCAUCUGAUUUGCAGUCUUCUACCAAUAAAGCAUCUAAAAAUAUGGCUGUCGUCCUGCCUGCUGUGACAAGAGCAAGAUGAAUGCCUGUUCGUCACUGUGUGCAUACAAAUAUGUGCUGAAGAAGAAGAAAGAGGGAGACGGUGAGAGUCUGCACAAGAGCAAGUAUGUGAAUAUGAAGGUUCACAUGACUCUGUUAAGUAAAAACUG
rnacentral:lncRNA from 1 species